UACGGGGGGGGCAAGCGUUGUUCAGAAUUACUGGGCGUAAAGGGCGCGUAGGCGGUUCGCUAAGUUGGAUGUGAAAACUCUGGGCUCAACCCAGAGCCUGCAUCCAAAACUGGCGGGCUAGAGUUCUGGAGGGGGUAGCGGAAUUCCUGGUGUAGCGGUGAAAUGCGUAGAUAUCAGGAGGAACACCGGUGGCGAAGGCGGCUACCUGGACAGAAACUGACGCUGAGGCGCGAAAGCUAGGGGAGCAAACCGG
rnacentral:rRNA from 1 species